UUUUGUAUGAUCCAUCUCUCUCCUUUGCUCUUUUCACUUGAGACAUGGGCUAUCUUUUCUUUUCUCUUUUUUUUCAUCAUGCUUUCAUGAGCAUGUACUUUAUUUCAUUUUGCAUAGCCCAAGUCUCUUUUGCAAGGAUAACUUUGGAGAGAGAGAGGUCAUAAAAUAUCAUGGAGCUUCAUUUUGUGGAUCAAUGAAAUGAUGAUUGCUAACUUUCAGUGUAGAAGUUUAGCAAAUGGUGG
rnacentral:lncRNA from 1 species